GCCUUGCUCAAGUGUGCUACGAAUCUGCUCAUGGCGGCUGGGAUAGCGACAUAAUCCGAAGAGCAACAAAGGACACCAACUCUUCAAUGCACUAAAUGCAAGGAGUGAAGCCAGGGUGAGCAGACAGAGGCAGCAGAGUAUCAGCAGCAGCCAGGGGGCGCCGUUCCCAGUUUUCUCCUCAUCAGGGUAGCUGUCCGCUGUAGGAACAAAGCGGAAGAAGAUAACUAUGGGUCUGGUUAAACCUAACCCGAUACUCACAGCACUGGAAGUCACAGUGAAGGACUUGGACGGAGAAGUUGACAUCAGUCCGUCUCACCUUUCAAAGGAGAAGCACACAAACAGUGAUCAGGCUUGGCUGUGGAGCCGGUGACCCGAGCUGAUGCUAUUUCGAUGUUGGGAGAGCAAUCAUACCUGAA